CCAAUAGCGUAUAUUAAAGUUGUUGCAGUUAAAAAGCUCGUAGUUGAAUUUCGGGAUCAGUUGGUCGGUCGUGCCUCGGUACGUACUGGUCAAAUUGAUUCCUACCUUCUGACGAACCACGAUGUCAUUAAUUUGGUGUCGUGGGGAAUCAGGACUGUUACUUUGAAAAAAUUAGAGUGUUUAAAGCAGGCUCGCGCUUGAAUACAUUAGCAUGGAAUAAUGAAAUAGGACGUUUGAUUCUAUUUUGUUGGUUUCUAGGAUCGACGUAAUGAUUAAUAGGGAUAGUUGGGGGCAUUAGUAUUCAAUUGUCAGAGGUGAAAUUCUUGGAUUUAUUGAAGACUAACUACUGCGAAAGCAUUUGCCAAGGAUGUUUUCAUUAAUCAAGAACGAAAGUUAGGGGAUCGAAGACGAUCAGAUACCGUCGUAGUCUUAACCAUAAACUAUGCCGACUAGGGAUCGGAUGAUGUUAAUUUUUUAAUGACUCAUUCGGCGCCUUACGGGAAACAAAGUGUUUGGGUUC
rnacentral:rRNA from 1 species